rnacentral:rRNA from 1 species
GAUGAACGCUGGCGGCGUGCCUAAUACAUGCAAGUCGAGCGAACGGACGAGAAGCUUGCUUCUCUGAUGUUAGCGGCGGACGGGUGAGUAACACGUGGAUAACCUACCUAUAAGACUGGGAUAACUUCGGGAAACCGGAGCUAAUACCGGAUGAUCUUUUGAACCGCAUGGUUCAAAAGUGAAAGACGGUCUUGCUGUCACUUAUAGAUGGAUCCGCGCUGCAUUAGCUAGUUGGUAAGGUAACGGCUUACCAAGGCAACGAUGCAUAGCCGACCUGAGAGGGGGAUCGGCCAAACUGGAACUGAGACACGGUCCAGACUCCUACGGGAGGCAGCAGGAGGGAAUCUUCCGCAAGGGGCGAAAGCCUGACGGAGCAACGCCGCGUGAGUGAUGAAGGUCUUCGGAUCGUAAAACUCUGUUAUUAGGGAAGAACAUAUGUGUAAGUAACUGUGCACAUCUUGACGGUACCUAAUCAGAAAGCCACGGCUAACUACGUG